UGAACUUAAACUGUCUUGCUUUCUUGCUCACUUUAGCAUCUGGAUGAGACUGAAGUUUCUCAUACAUCGCCUGAGCCUCAUUUCGCCUGUCAAUCAUAGUGACACUUUUUCGGAGAAGUGCAAAACUAAAGCAAACUCGGAUUCUACUUCAGUAUCAUGUUAAGUGGCUCAUGAUCUGAUAGUCCGGAAACUAAGUUUCAGAAAAUUGUUUUGAUUUUUCCAUAUUAAGGCAGAACUCGUUCUUCCGCUGUUUCAAGCACAGCUCCAGGGCGAAUGGUUCUUCCACCACCAAACUAAACACCCAAACAAGGAAUAUACCCGGGACCAGAGCAUGUCGUGAAAGAAGCACACUGGGCGGGCGUGCUUCGACCGUGUUUCCGGGGCACAGCUGAAUGUAGAUAUCAUAAACGCCAGGUGCAGGAUACCAGGCCGAGAAACCCGGGCAACCACCCCCUAUGUGCCCGAUCGCUAGCGCAUCCAGGGCCCCGGCGCCCUAA